rnacentral:rRNA from 1 species
CAGGCUUAACACAUGCAAGUCGAGGGGCAGCAUGGUCUUAGCUUGCUAAGGCCGAUGGCGACCGGCGCACUGGUGAGUAACGCGUAUCCAACCUGCCUUACACUCUUGGACAGCCUUCUGAAAGGGAGAUUAAUACAAGAUGUUAUCAUGAGUAAGCAUUUUCGCAUGAUUAAAGGUUUACCGGUGUAAGAUGGGGAUGCGUUCCAUUAGAUAGUAGGCGGGGUAACGGCCCACCUAGUCUUCGAUGGAUAGGGGUUCUGAGAGGAAGGUCCCCCACAUUGGAACUGAGACACGGUCCAAACUCCUACGGGAGGCAGCAGUGAGGAAUAUUGGUCAAUGGACGAGAGUCUGAACCAGCCAAGUAGCGUGAAGGAUGAAGGUUCUAUGGAUUGUAAACUUCUUUUAUACGGGAAUAAACGAAUCCACGCGUGGAUUUUUGCAUGUACCGUAUGAAUAAGGAUCGGCUAACUCCGUGCCAGCAGCCGCGGUAAUACGGAGGAUCCGAGCGUUAUCCGGAUUUAUUGGGUUUAAAGGGAGCGUAGAUGGGUUGUUAAGUCAGUUGUGAAAGUUUGCGGCUCAACCGUAAAAUUGCAAUUGAUACUGGCAGUCUUGAGUACAGUUGAGGUAGGCGGAAUUCGUGGUGUAGCGGUGAAAUGCUUAGAUAUCACGAAGAACUCCGAUUGCGAAGGCAGCUUACUAACCUGUAACUGACAUUGAUGCUCGAAAGUGUGGGUAUCAAACAGGAUUAGAUACCCUGGUAGUCCACACGGUAAACGAUGAAUACUCGCUGUAGGCGAUAUACAGUCUGCGGCCAAGCGAAAGCAUUAAGUAUUCCACCUGGGGAGUACGCCGGCAACGGUGAAACUCAAAGGAAUUGGCGGGGGCCCGCACAAGCGGAGGAACAUGUGGUUUAAUUCGAUGAUACGCGAGGAACCUUACCCGGGCUUAAAUUGCAACCGAAUAUGGCGGAAACGCUAUAGCUAGCAAUAGCGGUUGUGAAGGUGCUGCAUGGUUGUCGUCAGCUCGUGCCGUGAGGUGUCGGCUUAAGUGCCAUAACGAGCGCAACCCUUGCCGAUAGUUACUAACAGGUCAUGCUGAGGACUCUGUCGGGACUGCCAUCGUAAGAUGUGAGGAAGGUGGGGAUGACGUCAAAUCAGCACGGCCCUUACGUCCGGGGCUACACACGUGUUACAAUGGGGGGUACAGAGGGCUGCUACCACGCAAGUGGAUGCCAAUCCCAAAAACCUCUCUCAGUUCGGAUUGAAGUCUGCAACCCGACUUCAUGAAGCUGGAUUCGCUAGUAAUCGCGCAUCAGCCACGGCGCGGUGAAUACGUUCCCGGGCCUUGUACACACCGCCCGUCAAGCCAUGGGAGCCGGGGGUACCUGAAGUGCGUAACCGCAAGGAGCGCCCUAGGGUAAAACCGGUGACUGGGGCUAAGUCAUAAC